GAUGAACGCUGGCGGCGUGCCUAAUACAUGCAAGUUGAGCGCUGAAGGUUGGUACUUGUACCGACUGGAUGAGCAGCGAACGGGUGAGUAACGCGUGGGGAAUCUGCCUUUGAGCGGGGGACAACAUCUGGAAACGAAUGCUAAUACCGCAUAAAAACUUUAAACACAAGUUUUAAGUUUGAAAGAUGCAAUUGCAUCACUCAAAGAUGAUCCCGCGUUGUAUUAGCUAGUUGGUGAGGUAAAGGCUCACCAAGGCGAUGAUACAUAGCCGACCUGAGAGGGUGAUCGGCCACAUUGGGACUGGGACACGGCCCAAACUCCUACGGGAGGCAGCAGUAGGGAAUCUUCGGCAAUGGGCGAAAGUCUGACCGAGCAACGCCGCGUGAGUGGAGAAGGUUUUCGGAUCGUAAAACUCUGUUGGUAGAGAAGAACGUUGGUGAGAGUGGAAAGCUCAUCAAGUGACGGUACCUACCCAGAAAGGGACGGCUAACUACGUG
rnacentral:rRNA from 1 species